GGAAGCUCUUCCAUGGAAACAACAGACGCUUCUAACUCAUACUCGUUUAUGUUUACGUAGUACGUGGGAUAUGGAAACAAUGUAGUUUAAUUGGGAACUUCUGAAUUUUGCAUAAUUGAUAAUUAACUAUACUGACAGGAAAUGCAUCUAAAUGAGUCUAUGUCGAAUUUUCUUUGUGCAGUUUGAAGUUUUAGCUUUAGCUACUUGCUAGUCAACAGUAGUCUCUCGUAUGCAGGAUAAAUGGUGCCCAACAUGGGUUAGCAACUGUGGAAAUGGCGUACAAAAUAUUACAUGAUAUUACAUAUCGAACUGUAUCGAAGGAGCAGUUUGCCAGAAAGUGACUGUUUUAAAAAUGUGGAAACAAGGUGGCCGAAGCUCCGCUGUGGAUCGAGCUCAGGCGUUGCUAUCCGCAAAGAGGAGCAACGGAGGAGACACUCAGGGCUCCAGGCAAGAGUCCUCAUCCAAAACACGGGUUUCUGUGGGUGAAUCUUUCAAACCCAGAUCUGCUUCCCCAAAAACACACAAGUUAUUCUCAGAUCUGAGCGACUUGUCCUCAGUCAGUUCAGCUCCUGAGUCUGGAGGGGAUUUUAAAGCUACGGAUGCUGAAAAGAACCAUGGAAAAGAACUGGAUUCAAACAAGGGUCUCAGGCCGCAGAGCUCUCUGGGAGGAGGAAGCAGGUUUUUGAAGAAGGCUCCACCACCAACAAACAGCAGCCAGUCACCCAGGGACCAAAUGCACCCUCAAUCUGAAUCAAGAUAUGCACCAUCUUCGCGGCGUACCACUCAGACUCCGUCCUUGACUAGACUGGCUGAAAUUGAGAGUCGCAUCCGGAGCCGCAAGCAGGCGCAGGAACAGGCCAGACAGGAGACAAAAUCUGCCCUCAUUCUGACUUCGGAUUUGGGAGUGUCAUCAUCAGCACCAGCAAGAGUCAUCCAAACCCCAGAGACAUCUGUGCAACAGUCUGUACAGUCUAGCAGUGACCAGAGCCCAAGGGGAGCCCGUUUCCUUAAGAAGAAAGCAGCUGGAGCUCUUGAGAACACUAAUACAUCUCCUACUAUGGCUCCAAAAAGCGUAGAUGUUAGUGUGAGAGUCAGGUCCAGAGCAGCAGAUCGUGUAGCAUCUUCAGAGCGUUUGGAGACAAAGUCAGUUAAACUAACGAGUGGUGUCAGUCUGGAAAGUGAUGAAGAAGACAUGAAGAAACUGCUUGGAGACUCGAUGGACUCAACAGACUAUAGCUUCUUAAGACCUGGGAGACCUUCCUCCAUGAAAAAGUCAGAUAAGGUAUUCCUCAAAAGCAGUCAUGAAGUUCACUCCGCUCCACUUACUGCCGAAGUAAUUCCUUCGCCACCCUCCAACACAGCGCCACCUCGCUCCUCUGCUUCUCCUUCUAACCGGAGUUCUCCUUUCCGAUUCACUGGCCAUGCUCAGGCCCGCUUCAGCCCCUCUGUGCUCUCUUCUUCUCCCUCUCCACCCCGUGUCUCCUCCCCACAUCCUCCAGAAAGACCGGGCACCUCCUAUAGGCCAGAAAGCCCACAGCGUUCCCUGUCCUCCCUCUCAGGACGCAGUGAAGUGCUCUCUCUGGACGAGCUUUUCCCCGUGGAGACGGGAUCUGAACGCCCACACAGUGAGAUGAGUUCAGUUUCUUCUGAAGACUUCAAGAUUAAUGUGAUGACACUGGAUGACCUUGCACCUGCUCGCCUUGAAUUUACUGCAGAAACGCCAAGAAAACAGGGUAGCCCUGUUCCAGGAUCUCCAGACAGAAAGCAGCAGCUACACGAGGAGGAACAGCAACAAGACGAGCUGCUGGAUUACCAAAGUGACUUUGAGAGUGAGAGCAAAACAGAGCCAGAUUACAGUGCCAGUCAAGUGUCAGAGGAUCUGCAAAGAAAUGGAGGUGAAGAGAAGGUGAUGUCAGAAGUCAGAGAUGGGGGUUUGGAUUCAGACAUGUCUCAUGGGAGGACAGAAGAUGAUUAUUCGAGAGCUUUCUCAGAAGCAAGUCAUUCCUCCACCUCACGGACCUCAGAUCGCAGUCACACUUCCAAGUCAAACAGCCAAGGCAGAAGUGAGGACUCCAGAUCCUCAUUAUUACAUGAGGGCCAGGCUUCAUAUCAACAGUCGAGGAGACAUACUUCAGCCAGAAAGGUUUUAAAAGAAACUGCAGUACAGACCCAUUCUGGUCGACUAGCUUCAACAUGGCCAACAGAUAUUCCUGCUGUGGACCCUAUGGUGAGCAUGACCUACAUAAAUCCUUCUCCAGUGGUCACUCAUACCCUCAAUGCAGAAAUGGUAGAAGCAAUCAGCACCUUCAAUCCAGCUGUGUUUGCACUCAAUGAACUGCUAAAACAGCAGCUUGCCAUGACAAGGCGGUUCAUUGAAAGCAGCCGCCACCUGCACUCCAGCCUGGUGCAGAGUCUGGAACCACCAAACUACAAAUAUACCACUCUCGAGGACACCAAGAAGCUUAUCCCCAUGCACAAAUCUCCCAAACUGACAAUGAAGGAAGCUUUAGAGGUGGUGCUUCAGGAGAUCGGAGACGACCAUUGUAUGUGACCACUGUGAUUGCAAGGACCAGAAGCUGGAUCGUGUCUUUAUUUUUAAAGACAAUUUUUUAUACACAUUUAAAAACUUUUUUGUUCUACUAAGUGGGAAAUUACUUUAUUAUUCAUAAAACACUACAUGGAGUUUUAUACCAAGUGUCAAAAUGAAGAGCUGGCAGCCAAAUCCAUCACUUUAGGUUCUUAAUAAAUACUGGACUGGACAUUAUCAGGCUGUGGUCUGCUAAUGUAAAGAUGGGCACACCUCCACGCCACCUGCAAGUUAAGGAAAGGAAAGCUGUGUUAAUUUGGUUUACAACUCGACUGACCAAUCUGCAAAAACACCAAUAUUUUCCAGAUCUUUCCAAAAAUCCCUGAAAGUCAGCUGGUUUUCUGGAAAGUCACGCGCCCUGCCACACCUCAAUACCACUGUCCUCGCGCUCACUGUCCUUCGACAUCAAGGACAGUGGCCCUGCGACAGACUGGCAACCUGUCCAGGGUGUACCCCGCCUCUCGCCCUAUGACAGCUGGGAUAGGCUCCAGCGCCCCCCGCGACCCCGGAAAGGAUAAGCGGAAGCGAAUGGAUGGAUGGAUGGAUGUUAGCAAACAAUGCUACACGUAGUAAAGAGGGGGCUACGGUUAGAUAAAGUGUUGUGGUUGUGAAGUCAUUCGGUGAUUUCGCUUGUUGCUGAGAUUGUCUUCAGGAAAAAAAAAAAUGAAUGUAACAGCUGCUCGUUAAAAACAGCAGCCGCCACACUUUCUGUUGAAAUAACAGCCGGCUGCUGUUGUAGCUUCUAUUGAAGCCAACUCUCACAUUCUCUCGCGUUACUAUCUUUAAAGUCAGUUUUUAGUAGAAGUCUGCACAC